rnacentral:ncRNA from 1 species
UGGGGACACGCAGACUCCCCUUUAGACGGCUUGCCGUCCAAGCUCUGC